UACGUAGGGGGCUAGCGUUAUCCGGAAUUACUGGGCGUAAAGGGUGCGUAGGUGGUUUCUUAAGUCAGAGGUGAAAGGCUACGGCUCAACCGUAGUAAGUCUUUGAAACUGGGAAACUUGAGUGCAGGAGAGGAGAGUGGAAUUCCUAGUGUAGCGGUGAAAUGCGUAGAUAUUAGGAGGAACACCAGUUGCGAAGGCGGCUCUCUGGACUGUAACUGACACUGAGGCACGAAAGCGUGGGGAGCAAACAGG
rnacentral:rRNA from 1 species